rnacentral:rRNA from 1 species
GACGAACGCUGGCGGCGUGCUUAACACAUGCAAGUCGAACGCUGAAGCUCAGCUUUUGUUGGGUGGAUGAGUGGCGAACGGGUGAGUAACACGUGAGUAACCUGCCUUCUUCUUUGGGAUAACGCCCGGAAACGGGUGCUAAUACUGGAUAUUCACUGGUCUUCGCAUGGGGGUUGGUGGAAAUGGUUUUUCUGGUGGGGGAUGGGCUCGCGGCCUAUCGGCUUGUUGGUGGGGUAAUGGCCUACCAAGGCUUUGACGGGUAGCCGGCCUGAGCGGGGGACCGGGAACAUUGGGACUGACAUACGGCCCAGAGUACGACGGAGGGCAGCAGUGGGGAAUAUUGGAGAAAGGGCGCAAGCGUGAUGCAGCGACGGCGCGGGAGGGAUGGAGGUCGUCGGGUUGUGAACCUCGUUAGGAAAUGGUCAAGCCGCAAAAAUGGUUGUGGUGACGGUAGUGGGUAAAGAAGCACCGGCUAACUACGUG